UGUCUUGGCGAUUAACAUUGGCUCUUCUUUACUUACGCAAAUUUUUGCAGCUGGCAGCUUGAAUUUCUUCCCAGAAAGGGUUUUCUUUUCUACCAUUUGCAGGGUCAGGCUGCAAAUUUUCCAAACUUGUAUGCUCUGCGUGCCUUUUAAACAUAAGUUCCAAUUUCACACCAUCUCUUUGUGAACACAUAUGACCGUAUGCUGUUAGGAGCACCCAGGCCACAUGUUGAACCCUUUGCUGCUUAGAAAUUUCUUCUGCCAGAUACCCUAAAUCAUCUCCCUCAAGUUCAAGGUUCCACAUGUCUCUAGAGCAGGGGCAAAAUACCACCAGUCUCUUUGCUAAGGCAAAGCAAGAGGGACCUUUACUCCAGUUUCCAAUAAGUUCCUCAUCUCCAUUUGAGACUACAUCAUCCUGGACUUCAUUGUCUGUAUCACUGUCAGCAUUUUGGUCAGAACCAUUCAACAAGUCUCUAGGAAGUUCCAAACAUUCCCACAUCUUCCAUUCUUCUUCUGGACCCUCCAAACUAUUCCAGCCUCUGCCCAUUACCCAGUGGCUUGUGGUGUUGGGACACAGCAGGCCUGGGAAUGGGGAACAUAACAACUUGGCAGUGAGACAUGAGCUCAAGCCCCAGCUUUGCUUCCUGGCCAUUUGUGUGAGCUACGUUCCCCAAGGUCACGAAGCUUCACUGUGUCUGUCCCAUGGGGCAUUGCUCA
rnacentral:lncRNA from 1 species